AGUCGAACGGAAUCCAUGGUGUAGCAAUACACCGGAAGAUUUAGUGGCGAACGGGUGAGGAUCACGUGAGAAACCUGCCCCAGACUUUGGGAUAACAAUUGGAAACGGUUGCUAAUACCGAAUGACGUCGGAGAACCGCAUGGUUCACUGACGAAAGGAAAUCCGGUUUGGGAGGGUCUCGCGGCCUAUCAGCUUGUUGGUGGGGUAAUGGCCUACCAAGGCAACGACGGGUAGCUGGUCUGAGAGGAUGAUCAGCCACACUGGACUGAGACACGGCCCAGACUCCUACGGGAGGCAGCAGUGGGGAAUCUUGCGCAAUGGGCGAAAGCCUGACGCAGCAACGCCGCGUGCGGGAUGAAGGCCUUCGGGCUGUAAACCGCUUUCAGCAGGAACGAAAAUGACGGUACCUGCAGAAGAAGGAGCGGCCAACUACGUGCCAGCAGCCGCGGUGACACGUAGGCUCCAAGCGUUGUCCGGAUUUAUUGGGCGUAAAGAGCUCGUAGGCGGUUUAGUAAGUCGGGUGUUAAAACUCUGGGCUCAACCCGGAGAGGCCAUCCGAUACUGCUGUGACUUGAGUUCAGGAGGGGAGCGGGGAAUUCCUAGUGUAGCGGUGAAAUGCGCAGAUAUUANGAGGAACACCGGUGGCGAAAGCGCCGCUCUGGACUGAAGCUGACGCUGAGGAGCGAAAGCAUGGGUAGCAAACAGGAUUAGAUACCCUGGUAGUCCAUGCCGUAAACGGUGGGCACUAGGUGUGGGUUCCAACUAACGGGAUCCGCGCCGUCGCUAACGCAUUAAGUGCCCGCCUGGGGAGUACGGUCGCAGACUAAACUCAAGGAAUUGACGGGGCUCGCACAGCAGCGGAGCGUGU
rnacentral:rRNA from 1 species